UUCAUGGGAGACUGUCUCUGGAGGUCCCCAGAACCUCAUGACUCUUGUUUCAGGUCAGUAGGAGUGGGGUGAAGAGCUAGAAGAGCACCCAUGCUCAGGACUGGACUCCAGUAUCAGUCUGUCCCUGAGCAGCUGUGCCAAACCCCUGAGCUUCCACUUCCUCCUCUGGUGCAAGAAUGAUUGCUGUGGGGACCAGCAGCCAACCCGAAUGGGGUAGAACCCAGCCUCACCGGAGGAGCAGUUGUCAAAGUUCAAAUCUCCACAGAUGAUGUCAAAUGCCACCAGCUCCUCGGGGUUGGCUGUGCUGGACGAGGAGGUAGAUUUUCGGAAAUCAGCCAGCCACUCCAGAAGCAUGUCCAGCUGCUCACACCGGAUAGCACUGUCAUCUGUGGAGCAGAACCACAGAGACCCGAGGAUAAAGCUGCAGCCAGAUGCCAACCAGGACCUGGCUGAUCCCAACCUGCCAGGGAAAGAUCCCCCACCCCUAAAAGAGUGCAGGCCACCAGACCCUACCUUCUGGGGCGUGCAGGAGAAACAGGCUCACUCUUGGAAACAGAGAUGAGCUGGGUCUGCUGUGUGCUCGGCACAACCGGCUCCACUCUGAGGGGUUCUGUCUGAUGGGCGGGACAGGCAACAAGACUGCUGGGAGCAAAUGCUGAGGAACCCGUGAAGGGGAAGAUGGUUUGUGUGGAUGGCUGCUGAGGAAGCUCCACAGAAAUGAAAUUCACUGAGAUGAAAAUACAUCCAUGGAACAGAACAUUGAUGAACCAUAUGCCAAAAUGGAAGGUUGGUACUCCUGUAAGAGCAGUGCACUUAAUUUCAGCAUCACAGGCUGUGAGUGGAGAGCUGAGGACUCCAACUCUGGGCCUGCUGAGCCACACAAGAGCCACUGAGCACCUGGAGUGGAGGCCUGGGCCUGGGGAUGCUGGUCUGGCUCCAGCAGUCUUCAUGCAGACAGGCAACCCGG